GCCCAGGUGGCGGAAUGGUAGACGCGGGGGGCUUAAACCCCCCUGGCGCGAAUAGCGCUGUAUCGGUUCGAGUCCGAUCCCGGGCA
rnacentral:tRNA from 1 species